GUUGCAGUGAGCCGAGAUUGUGCCAUUACACUCCAGCCUGGGCUACAGGAGCAAAACUCAGUCUCAAAAGAAAAAAAAACCUUCAAGAUAACAGUUUAAUUUUAAAACAGUUGUUUAAUGAAAAAAGGAAGGUUAGGGACUAGAGAAUUUUUGAAACAAUAAUUAUGAUAGGAAUAUCAGUAACAAAAUGUUUCUGAAGCUAUAAAUGUAAGCUAAAAAUAUAAACAUCAUUGACUAAAUCCAGUCUUUGAUUAGAACUAGUUUUUUCUCUAUUAAGGCUCUUAUUUUCUACUAGCACUAACUUGUACUCAACCCUUAGUACAUAUUCUCUCACUUUUUAGUAACCAUUGUUAUGAUAAAUUGAAAAGCCAUUCAAAUAAAAUUUUGUGUGAAUUAAUCUGUUUGCCAGAGUGAAAAGAGUAGUAACAAUAGGUAAACAGAACACUUGUGGCUCUAAGUCAGGGACUUAAAGUGGUGCGCUUAGCGGAUAACGCUUCUGGUCACCUACAGUUUGUUUCUGAAAACUGAAAGGAGUUUCAGUGGUGAUAGCUGGGAUCACAGGAGUGAGACACCACUUCCAGCCUACAUGUGUCUUUAUGGGAGAAGAGUGUUUCCUGUAGGCAACAGAGCAAUGGGUCUUUUUAUUUUAUUUUAUUUAUUUAUUUAUUUAUUUAUUUUUGAGCUGGAGUCUUGCUCUGUCACCAGACUGGAGUGCAGUGGCACCAUCUCGGCUCACUGCAACCUCUGCCUCCCGGGUUCAAGUGAUUCUCCUGCCUCAGCCUCCUGAGUAGCUGGGACUACAGGUGCGCACCACCACACCCUGCUAAUUUUUGUAUUUUUAGUAGAGACAGGGUUUCACCAUGUUUGCCAGGAUGGUCUCUAGCUCUUGACCUCAUGAUCUGCCUGCCUUGGCCUCCCAAACUGCUGGGAUUACAGGCGUGAGCCACCACACCUGGAUGGGUCUUGUUCUUUCAUCCAUUCAUCCACUCUAUCUUUUGAUUGAAAAGUUUAGUCUACUGACACUCAAUGUUAUUAUUGAUAAGUAAGGACUUACUCCUGCCAUUUUGUUAUUUGUUUUCUGGUUGUUUUGGGGUCUUCUCUUCCUUCUUUCAUUCCUGUCUUUCAUUAGUGAAGGUAAUUUUCUCUGGUGAUAUGAUUUAGUUUCUUGUUUUUUAUUUUUCGUGUAUCCAUUGUUAUGUUUUUUGGUUUGAGGUUACCAUGAGGCUUGUAAAUACUAUCUUAUAAUCCAUUAUUUUAAUCUUAUAAGUUUUCAUAAACAAGUAAAAAGAAAACUAAUAAAAACUCUACAACUUAACUUUGUCUCCCUAUUUUUUAACUUUUUGUUAUUUCUAUCUUAUUAUACCAUCUAUGUCUUGAAAAGUUGUAGUUAAUAUUUUUGAUUGGCUCAUAGUUUAGUCUACUUAGAGUAAGAGUAGUUUAUACAUCAUAGUUACAGUGUUAUAACAUUCUGCAUUUUUCUGUAUACCUACUAUUACCAGUGAGUUUUAUACCUUCAGGUUGUUACUUAUUGCUCAUUAAUGUCCUUAUCUUUCUGAUUGAAAUACUCCCUUUAGCAUUUCUUCUAGGACAGGUCUGGUGUUGACAAAAUCCCUCAGCUUUUGUGUGGAAAAGUGUUUAUUUCCCCUUCACUUUGAAGGAUAUUUUCACUGGAUACACUGUUCUAGGGUAAAUGUUUUUUUC
rnacentral:lncRNA from 1 species